CUCUAUCAAAUCAGUGUUCCAUACUAAAUCCCUGUCUGCGACCUUCACAUCAUGGAAACUCUCCCAGGCCUGGUCAAUUAAUUUGCAACCUUCUUCCAAGGUCUCCUGUGUUCGGAAAACAGCAGCAUUGUUUUGCAUAAUUCGUUGCAUGUUCAACCGAAUCUUUGAGGUGGGCAGUGAACCAUUUGAGUUUCUUAAUUUAUCUAGCCAUGCAAUAGUCUUCUCACCAGCAUCUUUUUCCAACGGCUUUUGCGGUGCCCCUGGUCUACUGAUCUCUGCUACCCUAUUUGCACAAGCUCGUCCAAAGACAACAAUGUCCAAAAGCGAAUUUGCACCAAGCCUAUUGGCACCAUGAACUGAGGCACAAGCGGCCUCCCCAGCAGCCAUCAAUCCUGGAAUUACAGCAUCUGGAUCAUCUCCCUUUAUUGUAACAACCUCUCCAUAAUGAUUCGUAGGGAUUCCACCCAUAUUAUAAUGCACUGUAGGUAAGACUGGAAUGGGUUCUUUGGUAACAUCAACGCCAGCAAAAAUGGCAGCAGUUUCUGAGAUACCCGGAAGUCUCUCCUUCAGUACAUCUGGG
rnacentral:misc_RNA from 1 species